AGUGAACGCUGGCGGUAGGCCUAACACAUGCAAGUCGAACGGCAGCACAGUAAGAGCUUGCUCUUACGGGUGGCGAGUGGCGGACGGGUGAGGAAUACAUCGUAAUCUACUUUUUCGUGGGGGAUAACGUAGGGAAACUUACGCUAAUACCGCAUACGACCUACGGGUGAAAGCAGGGGAUCUUCGGACCUUGCGCGAUUGAAUGAGCCGAUGUCGGAUUAGCUAGUUGGCGGGGUAAAGGCCCACCAAGGCGACGAUCCGUAGCUGGUCUGAGAGGAUGGUCAGCCACACUGGAACUGAGACACGGUCCAGACGCCUACGGGAGGCAGCAGUGGGGAAUAUUGGACAGUGGGCGCAAGCCUGAUCCAGCCAUACCGCGUGGGUGAAGAAGGCCUUCGGGUUGUAAAGCCCUUUUGUUGGGAAAGAAAAGCAGCAGGUUAAUACCACGCUGUUCUGACGGUACCCAAAGAAUAAGCACCGGCUAACUUCGUG
rnacentral:rRNA from 1 species